AGUGAACGCUGGCGGUAGGCCUAACACAUGCAAGUCGAACGGCAGCACAGUAAGAGCUUGCUCUUACGGGUGGCGAGUGGCGGACGGGUGAGGAAUACAUCGGAAUCUACUUUUUCGUGGGGGAUAACGUAGGGGAACUUACGCUAAUACCGCAUACGACCUACGGGUGAAAGCAGGGGAUCUUCGGACCUUGCGCGAUUGAAUGAGCCGAUGUCGGACUAGCUAGUUGGCGGGGUAAAGGCCCACCAAGGCGACGAUCCGUAGCUGGUCUGAGAGGAUGAUCAGCCACACUGGAACUGAGACACGGUCCAGACUCCUACGGGAGGCAGCAGUGGGGAAUAUUGGACAAUGGGCGCAAGCCUGAUCCAGCCAUACCGCGUGGGUGAAGAAGGCCUUCGGGUUGUAAAGCCCUUUUGUUGGGAAAGAAAAGCAGCAGGUUAAUACCCCGCUGUUCUGACGGUACCCAAAGAAUAAGCACCGGCUAACUUCGUG
rnacentral:rRNA from 1 species